rnacentral:lncRNA from 1 species
UAAAUGUAAGGCAUAAAGUGUGGUUUGGAAAGGUUGAGUGAAUUUUUGUAAUGUACAACUCACAAACCAUGUAAGCUGAAGAUGAGAGGGUAAAAGAUGGGAGAUUCAGCUUCUUGAAAUUGGAUCAAUAUUGAUAUUUACAAGCAUGAAGAAAUUUCAAUAACAAAGGUAUUAUUUAAAUUAGAAAUUGUUGUUUGAAUGAUAUUGUACUAAAGCGAUAUAAGUUUGAACAAAAUUUUAAAAAUAUUUUGCAGGUUGUAUUGAUUCUUAGCAAGCUUGCUAAAUGUAGAAGUCUUUACUUUCCUUGGAACAUGAGGUACUGUUUAUCGGUAUAUUUUUUUUAUUCUUAUUUCUUUCUAAUUUAAAUUUUUGUUUGAGAACACAGGUUUGACAAAAGUAGAAUUCUUUCUUAAAGAGAAAAGGGGGAUAGUAAGAAUGUAGUGAGAUUUGGAUUUUGUGAAAGAUUUGGGUAGAAAAAGAGCCGUAAGCAGGUAUGGGCGAAGAAGGGCUAGUUUUAUAGGUUCUAAAUAUUUAGGAAAGUGAUAUAAUUAUAUUAUAUUAUAUUAUUAUGUAAUAUACAUAUGUAUACAUGUAUAUCUAUUAUAUUAU